CUUCUUCCCUGGACAUACAACCCCUAGGUUUUUUCUUUGCCUCUUUCUUCUUCCCUGGACAUACAACCUAAGGCAACCAUCGACGAAUUCAUUGACGAACUCACCACUACCAACGGCUAAUCGGAGAACUAAGUUACGAUUGGCGACUUCACUCCCACUGGCGACCUCGACACAAUCGCUAGCAAACUACAAAUUUAGGUGUUUAAUAGAUACAAUGGUGUGAUUGAUGGAGUCCAGUUCUCAUCACAUGACCCUGUAGGUGGCCUACUAGCUAGAUCUACCCAUUGAUCCAUCUGCUGGUAUUCGUUGUGCAGAGGUUUGUUUCUUGUUGAAGGUAAGGUGUAAGGGAAGUUCACAUUUGGAAACCAGCCAAACAGUGUUGGAGGAGAACAUAUGCUUGUGCCCGCAUUGGCUAAUAAUUAGUAUUGUCAAUUUGUUGAUGCUUGUCACAAUUAUGUAAACUUUUGAGCCUUAUUUUAUUUUGUUAUUUUUAUAUUUUUGAAGAUUACAAUUGAUGUAAAGUGGGAAAUAAUUUAUUGGGUGAUUGUAAGAAUUAGUUUGAAAUUAAAAAUUUGGUUAAAUGCUGAUUUUUUAU